rnacentral:rRNA from 1 species
GAUGAACGCUGGCGGCGUGCUUAACACAUGCAAGUCGAACGGUGAAGGCGGAGCUUGCUCUGCUGGAUCAGUGGCGAACGGGUGAGUAACACGUGAGCAAUCUGCCCCUGACUCUGGGAUAAGCGCUGGAAACGGCGUCUAAUACUGGAUACGAGCUGCGAAGGCAUCUUCAGCAGCUGGAAAGAACUUCGGUCAGGGAUGAGCUCGCGGCCUAUCAGCUUGUUGGUGAGGUAACGGCUCACCAAGGCGUCGACGGGUAGCCGGCCUGAGAGGGUGACCGGCCACACUGGGACUGAGACACGGCCCAGACUCCUACGGGAGGCAGCAGUGGGGAAUAUUGCACAAUGGGCGAAAGCCUGAUGCAGCAACGCCGCGUGAGGGACGACGGCCUUCGGGUUGUAAACCUCUUUUAGCAGGGAAGAAGCGAAAGUGACUGUACCUGCAGAAAAAGCGCCGGCUAACUACGUG